UUAAUAACAAGAUCUCUGGUGACUCUUGCUAGAGAAGCAAGUGUUAGUGGUUCACAGAGAAGCCCAUGAGGUUGAGGAGUGACCUGGGGUGAGUGGGAAGGAAACACAGUGAGUGGACAGUGUUUUCCUUUUCCACUCCCUGUGCUGAUUUCCUCCUCUACUUCUAAUCUCAGGGAAGAAUAAAACCACUUAUCGGACAAUUAGCGAAAACUAGUGCAUGCCAUAAGCCUCAAAAUUACCCUAUGAUGUUGGGCCCACUAUUAUCUUUAUUUUCUAGGAGGGGAGCUGAGAGUUUGAGAGAUUUAUACCCCAGCCUGAGAUCCACAGUUGGUUGAGGAGGCCUGGGGAAACUCAGCUUACAGCCAUAUUUGUACUAGAAGAUUUUCGGUACAACUGGAGGGCAACAAUAUAUAUCAUCAUGCUGCUGAACAUGCAGGUGUCUUAGAAUUUGGUAUGCUAAAAGAACUUUUGAAACAUGUAUUAAUUGGCACAUUACUGUUUUGAAGUUUAGCAGUGUUAUAUAUAUUUUCUUAGGUUUUGUGUUUGAAAAUAGAAUUCAUAAAAUAUGAGUAAAUUAAAAGCAUAUGUGAACAACUUUUAAUACUUACAUAUUAUUACUUCUCAUCUCAUUGAGUAGAGAAGGCUUUGAGGAAG
rnacentral:lncRNA from 1 species